AACGAACGCUGGCGGCAUGCCUAACACAUGCAAGUCGAACGAUGCCUUCGGGCAUAGUGGCGCACGGGUGCGUAACGCGUGGGAAUCUGCCUUUCGGUUCGGAAUAACUCAGGGAAACUUGAGCUAAUACCGGAUAACGUCGCAAGACCAAAGAUUUAUCACCGAAAGAUGAGCCCGCGUAGGAUUAGCUAGUUGGGGAGGUAAAGGCUCACCAAGGCGACGAUCCUUAGCUGGUCUGAGAGGAUGAUCAGCCACACUGGGACUGAGACACGGCCAGACUCCUACGGGAGGCAGCAGUGGGGAAUAUUGGACAAUGGGCGAAAGCCUGAUCCAGCAAUGCCGCGUGAGUGAUGAAGGCCUUAGGGUUGUAAAGCUCUUUUACCCGAGAAGAUAAUGACGGUACCGGGAGAAUAAGCCCCGGCUAACUCCGUG
rnacentral:rRNA from 1 species